rnacentral:lncRNA from 1 species
AGAUGUCAGCAUGAAGGAACAGAGCAGGGGAGGCGCCCCGCACUGCAGUGGCCAGUUCGAUUAGAUUGGAUGAUUUUCAGCCUCACAAAAGGAGAAAUGGUGACUGGUAAGUCCCACUGUGUGCUCAUUUUCACACACACCACACUCCUGAGCAAUUCUAGUGCAGCUGAAAGGGCCCGGAAACCCAACCUAUGUGCUAUGGCUUUGUCAUGACAUGAGAGAUAAUGAAGUUGCGCUUCUUUCUGUUUCUCUUUAAUUUACCCAGAGUCAUAGUGGGUAAACCUGUCUCGCCCUCUGCCUAACCACACAAGCUUAGUGAAGGCCAUGCUUGAUCCUUUGGAGAUGACUCUGUUUUCUCUCUUCCAGCUUUGGGUCACCAUAGUCCACUCUCCAGGCUGUAGCUAAGCCAAGCAAGUUUUCAAAAACUAUUAAUCACAUUCAUUGCUGGAUUUGGAUUUGGGU